rnacentral:misc_RNA from 1 species
UCGAGUUUAAAAGAGCUCGCAGACUUCAUCAACUCUGUGAGUCCAGUGAGAUCCUCCAGAUAGGUAGGAUGAUUAAUUGCUGGGAGCAGGAAUUCUUUUCCUUUUUUCCGAUAUUCGGUUAUCACAGUGCUGGAACAAGCAGUGCAACUCUCAGAAGCAUGGCCUACAAGUGUCAUUUGGGAAAAUUGAUGAAGUGAACCUCGAAUCUGAUGGGGUAGAAUACCAAGGGGUUGGUCACCACCUCCACUGUUAGUGGAGUCUGCAAUCACACCUGCAAAAAUCCCAUUAGGAUGGUGCAAGAUGUCACAACAAAAAGUUCAGCUGCAAGAGAAGAAGCAAUAGGAGCAAGCCCUGGACGUGUAACGGUGCAUUGCUGGUCCAAAGUGCGAUUGGCAGUCGAAUCAGUUGGUGCAACCACGUCAUUGCAGAAGUAACAACCCAAUCUCUCCCCUCCGCUAUCAGCCAAAGCAAGGCUGUCCAUAUCACCAGAUAAAGCAAUUUCAGAUUCAGCUUUUACGUCAUUGGAUGAGUUAAGAGGACCCGAGCCAUGUCG